ACCAUCUUAGGGAAUAGAAGCAAUGUAUCUUAUAACGUCCAUACUUUAGUUGUUCAAAAUAAAAUAGUAUGUGAAAAAGUGUGUAAUUAUUGAGUACCGCCGCAACAGUUAAACUUAGCGACGAGGAUCAAAAAGUGAGAAUUUGGACUUUGUCACACCGUGGUGUAAACGUAGUGCACAUGGUCGGUGCACAUAACCGCAAUUAGACAUAAUGUCACAAUUAGGAGAAAGUAGUGGCACGGUGAAAGAUGGUGCUGGAGCUGCGGUAUUUAGAGAGAUGUUCUUUUUUGUGAACGAUACACCGGAAGAAAAGAAAGCCCCGGUCUAAAUUACCGUCGCUGGCCCUAGUCUGUAUACGGUCGCGGUCAGACUGUGUGCUCCUGAAGACCCUCGUUCAAAGUCGUAUCGGGUCUUAGUCAGUCUGUUGAAAAAACACCUUGCUCCAACUAUAAAUGUCGUGUCAGAAAGGUACAAGUUCAGGAAGAGCGAACAGCUACCCUCGCAAUCCAUCACGGAUUUCUUCAUAACUCUUAAAACGGUGUCUCAAUCAUGCAAUUACAAUGCAUUUCUCGCGGACGCCCUACGUGACCAGUUUGUCGCUGGAACCAACGACCAAGGUUUGCGGAAAAAGUUACUCACCGAAGCUGACCUUACUUUCGAGAAGGUAUGCUCGAUCGCUAGGAGUUGGGAAGCAGCAUUAUGUCAAAACAAAGAAAUGUCAAGUCAGUCGUCUUCGAAACUAGCAGCGUUUCAAAUAGAAUGGGAGGAGGAGCAAAGUAAGUCGUCUAGUCGUACAUUUCAGAAGUCUGGCAGGCCAUGUUAUCGGUGCAGUCGCCAACAUGACCCAGCAACGUGUCCAGCACGAAAUUGGACGUGCUAUUCCUGUGGAAAGCGAGGUCAUGUCUCAACAACCAGUCAAGCAACACAUCGUUUCUCAGAGAAAAACAAUCGUGUAGCCGAAAUGUCCGAAGCAGUGGAAGUUCUCCUUCUAAAUCUCCCAAGUGUGGAUAAUGGGUCAUAUAGAAACAACGAUUCCGUAGUAGUCAGCGAAAGGAAACCAGUCUCAUCAAGUAACGAUAAUUUGAAGUCAUUGAAUCGUUUUUAUUCUCCGGAAUUCGUGUCCUCGGACUGUGAAGGUCACCGUAUGAAAUUCGAGGCUAAAUGUGGCGCUUGCAGUAGUGUAACAUAGUCAGAUACGUCAACGGAUUCAGUCCAAAAGAACCGUUGCAGUUCAAGUUAUUGCGUCUUUAGUGGUUCGCAACAUGUUGGACCUAGUCGUUAUUCCAGCCAAUAAGGAAAUUAAUUCAGUUUGUCGAGUCGAGUUUGUCUGGCAGUUUUAGUUUUAGUGACAGAAACACUAAAGCCGCUAAAGCCGCGUCAGUGCGUCAAUCAAAUCAACUUAAAGGACAUCCCAUGCUUUGAUAUUAUCAAUACUUUGUUAUUGUGUAUUUGUACUCUAGCAGAAUUAACUAUUUUAGUAGUACCGCCAUCUUGUUCAAAAUAAGAAGUUUGUGGCAAUAAUAGAGUGUCAGGAAAAGCCUUGAUAUAAUAAUAUAGUAAAAGCUGUUCAAGGCGGGAGAGAUGUAGUAUCCCUAGUUUCACUACUGGCUUGAAAGUCGCGAUUGUAUACAUUAUUUUCAUUUUUAUAGAAUAUUUUGGUGGCCCUGAAAAGGAACCGCUAAAGAAGCUUGAUUCAUGAUUCAAUCUUUCCUUCGCGAGAAUAAUACGAGGAGCAUGAGAAUAAUAAGCAAGCAAGCUCUUCCGAAAUAAUACACUUUAGUUCACUGUACAAAAA